AUUGAACGCUGGCGGCAUGCUUUACACAUGCAAGUCGAACGGUAACAGGCCGCAAGGUGCUGACGAGUGGCGAACGGGUGAGUAAUGCACCGGAACGUGCCCAGUCGUGGGGGAUAACUACUCGAAAGAGUAGCUAAUACCGCAUACGAUCUAUGGAUGAAAGCGGGGGACCGUAAGGCCUCGCGCGAUUGGAGCGGCCGAUGUCAGAUUAGGUAGUUGGUGGGGUAAAGGCUCACCAAGCCAACGAUCUGUAGCUGGUCUGCGAGGACGACCAGCCACACUGGGACUGAGACACGGCCCAGACUCCUACGGGAGGCAGCAGUGGGGAAUUUUGGACAAUGGGCGCAAGCCUGAUCCAGCAAUGCCGCGUGCAGGAAGAAGGCCUUCGGGUUGUAAACUGCUUUUGUACGGAACGAAACGACUCUGGUUAAUACCCGAGGCUAAUGACGGUACCGUAAGAAUAAGCACCGGCUAACUACGUG
rnacentral:rRNA from 1 species